UACAGAGGUCUCAAGCGUUGUUCGGAUUCAUUGGGCGUAAAGGGUGCGUAGGCGGCGCGGUAAGUCGGGUGUGAAAUCUCGGGGCUUAACUCCGAAACUGCAUUCGAUACUGCCGUGCUUGAGGACUGGAGAGGAGACUGGAAUUUACGGUGUAGCGGUGAAAUUCGUAGAUAUUCGGAAGAACACCAGUGGCGAAGGCGACUCACUGGCCCGUUACUGACGCUGAGGCGCGAAAGCGUGGGGAGCAAACAGG
rnacentral:rRNA from 1 species